UACGGGGGGAGCAAGCGUUGUUCGGAUUUACUGGGCGUAAAGGGCGCGUAGGCGGCCUCUGCAAGUCGACUGUGAAAUCUCCGGGCUUAACCCGGAAAGGUCAGCCGAUACUGCAGGGCUAGAGUGCGGCAGAGGAGACUAGAAUUCCUGGUGUAGCAGUGAAAUGCGUAGAUAUCAGGAGGAAUACCGAUGGCGAAGGCGGCUCUCUGGACCUGUCCUGACGCUCAGGCGCGAAAGCUAGGGGAGCAAACAGG
rnacentral:rRNA from 1 species